rnacentral:rRNA from 1 species
UACGAAGGGGGCUAGCGUUGCUCGGAAUCACUGGGCGUAAAGGGUGCGUAGGCGGGUCUUUUAAGUCAGGGGUGAAAUCCUGGAGCUCAACUCCAGAACUGCCUUUGAUACUGAGGAUCUUGAGUACGGGAGAGGUGAGUGGAACUGCGAGUGUAGAGGUGAAAUUCGUAGAUAUUAGGAAGAACACCAGUGGCGAAGGCGGCUCACUGGUCCGGUAUUGACGCUGAGGCGCGAAAGCCAGGGGAGCAAAGC